AACAUAACAGUGCUUAGAUUCUGGUUUAGGGUUUUGGAGUAUAUUCUUUUCUGUUUCUCUCUCUUCAGCAAUGGCUGCUAUUAUAUCUCUCUAUCCUUAUAAUCCUAUGUUACACAUUACAAUUCCUUCGUGUUCUACUUCUCCAAUUCGAAACUUGGAGAGAUUUCAAUUGGGUUCCAGAAGGUGGAAGAAUUUGGUGGAGCUUGCAGCACAUUCCAAUCCGAAGAUUCUCAAGACUAACCGAAGGUCAAGGUAUGGACAAGCCUUCUCACUGUAUGACAGUGAUGAAGACGAUGAAGAAAUGGACGAUGAUGAUGACGAAGACGAUGAUGUUUGCCUUUCUGAUGAUGAAUUUGCUGAGCCUGCUGACUUUGAUGUUAAUAACAAGAGAUUUAAGUCACAGACAAUUAAAGGAAAAGAUACACAACAGGAAAGGGAUUGGGGUGUGAGAUCUUAUAACAAUGAACAAAGAACUGCAAUGACCAAAAGUGAGCGAGUGGCAUCGUUACAACGAAAUGACAGUAGAAAGGUACCAAAUGGUGAUAACUUUAGUAGAAAUUUAAAGGAGGAAAAGUAUCCACAGUUGUCCGAAGAGAUUGAUUUGGAUGAUAAAUGGUUACCGCUUCUUGAUUAUUUAAGCACCUUUGGAAUUAAGGAAUCACACUUUAUCCAAAUGUAUGAGAGGCACAUGCAAUCACUUCAAAUUAAUGUUUGUUCUGCACAGGAAAGAUUGGAAUACUUAUUGAGUGUUGGUGUUAAACAUAGAGAUGUAAGAAGAAUUCUUUUGAGGCAGCCACAUAUUCUUGAGUAUACAGUGGAGAACAAUUUGAAGUCUCAUGUUGCGUUCUUGAGGGGCCUGGGCAUACCUAAUUCCAGAAUAGGGCAAAUCAUUACAACUACUCCAUCCCUAUUUUCUUAUAGUGUCGAGAAUUCAUUAAAACCAACUGUAAGAUAUUUAGUUGAGGAAGUCGGCAUCAAGGAAAAAGAUUUGGGUAAAGUCAUUCAGCUUAGUCCCCAAAUUCUUGUGCAGCGAAUUGACAUUUCAUGGAAUACUCGAUAUAUGUUUCUUACGAAAGAGUUGGGUGCACCCAGAGAUAGCAUUGUGAAGAUGGUGACAAAACAUCCCCAGCUUCUCCAUUACAGCAUAGAUGAUGGAUUACUUCCAAGAAUAAAAUUCCUAAGGAGCAUAGGAAUGAAAAAUUCAGACAUCGUGAAAGUCUUGACUAGCCUUACACAGGUGCUAUCUCUGUCCUUGGAGGAGAAUCUAAAACCCAAGUAUUUGUACUUGGUAAAUGAACUUAACAAUGAGGUGCAAUCCUUGACCAAAUACCCAAUGUAUCUUAGCUUGUCUUUGGACCAGAGAAUUCGUCCUCGUCAUAGGUUCUUGGUUUCCCUAAAGAAAGCUCCAAAAGGGCCAUUUCCACUUGGAUCUCUCGUUCCAACUGAUGAAUCUUUUUGUCAACAGUGGGCUGGAACUAGUUUAGAUGCGUAUUUGGCAUUCCGCCAGAGAUUAUUACUUAAAAAGUUUGCUGAGAAAUAUGAAAGAAAAAUGUGACAGAUCAGAAUCAAGUUUGUAUCAGUCAACCUGCAUGAGUACCAGAAGAUGAAAAUCUGUUGUAAUAUUAUUGCCAUGCAACAUGUUGCUAAAAAAUGUUCUUGGUCAGCAUUGUGGCUAAAGCACAAUCACUAGAGUUUAAUCAGCGACUCGGCAUACUAUUUGUACAUGAUGUCACGACACACUCAAGUAUUGGGUCUUAUCCCCGCAGAAGUUGCUCAACUACUUUUGCAAAAUUUAGUAUUGCUGUUUGUUUUGUAGUCAAAUAGUAGUUUACCAAGUGCUUGUGACCUGAAAGGAAGAACAUAUCACAGUGCGGUUUGUCACCAUAAGGUUGAGGGCAAUUUUGCAAACUUAUAUUGGUAUAAAUUGAAGAAUGAAGCUGUAUCAAAUCUAAGAUCCAGCUUAUAGAUUCUGUCAAUACUACUUUGUUGUUUCCAUUUUACCUUCAAUGAUGUGUGUGUAUGUGUAUUUAUUUUUCUGCUUUCAUUCCUUUGUAUAUCUGAAAUCAAUAGGACUUAUUUUGUUACCCUUGUCACCAUCCCGACAAGUAUAUGCGAUUCUUUUGUUACCCUGCGGCCAUUUGUAUCACAUGUAUGAGUUGAAAUGACAUUUUGAUUCUCGUCAAGCACUAUUGAAUUCUAACUUCUGGAUAUGAUUCUUCAUUUGGUGGGGGAGGAGUUAUUUGCUUAGUUUAUGAGAUGUAAUACAGUUUUAGUUGGUGUAAUAUAUCACUUUCAUCUUUCACUCAUGUAUUCUCAGAAAAAAAAAAAUUUCCC